UACGUAGGGUGCAAGCGUUGUCCGGAAUUAUUGGGCGUAAAGAGCUCGUAGGCGGUCUGUCGCGUCGGAUGUGAAAACCCGAGGCUUAACCUCGGGCCUGCAUUCGAUACGGGCAGACUAGAGUUCGGUAGGGGAGACUGGAAUUCCUGGUGUAGCGGUGAAAUGCGCAGAUAUCAGGAGGAACACCGGUGGCGAAGGCGGGUCUCUGGGCCGAUACUGACGCUGAGGAGCGAAAGCGUGGGGAGCGAACAGG
rnacentral:rRNA from 1 species